rnacentral:rRNA from 1 species
GACGGGUUAGUAACGCGGUGGGAACGUACCCAGACCUAAGGAAUAGCCACUGGAAACGGUGAGUAAUACCUUAUACGCCCUUCGGGGGAAAGAUUUAUCGGAUUUGGAUCGGCCCGCGUUAGAUUAGGUAGUUGGUGGGGUAAUGGCCUACCAAGCCUACGAUCUAUAGCUGGUUUUAGAGGAUGAUCAGCAACACUGGGACUGAGACACGGCCCAGACACCUACGGGAGGCAGCAGUGGGGAAUCUUAGACAAUGGGCGCAAGCCUGAUCUAGCCAUGCCGCGUGAGUGAUGAAGGCCUUAGGGUCGUAAAGCUCUUUCGCCUGUGAUGAUAAUGACAGUAGCAGGUAAAGAAACCUCGGCUAACUCCGUGCCAGCAGCCGCGGUAAUACGGAGGGGGUUAGCGUUGUUCGGAAUUACUGGGCGUAAAGCGCACGUAGGCGGAUUAGAAAGUUAGGGGUGAAAUCCCGGGGCUCAACCUCGGAACUGCCUCUAAAACUCCUAGUCUAGAGUUCGAGAGAGGUGAGUGGAAUUCCAAGUGUAGAGGUGAAAUUCGUAGAUAUUUGGAGGAACACCAGUGGCGAAGGCGGCUCACUGGCUCGAUACUGACGCUGAGGUGCGAAAGUGUGGGGAGCAAACAGGAUUAGAUACCCUGGUAG